UUCUGUCAGUGAUGAGACCACGGAACCUGCGUCAGGCAUGGCGCCCGAUAUUUAUGAGGAGAUCUUCCAUGCUGCCUUCCUUCUGAGACCACU
rnacentral:snoRNA from 1 species